UACGUAGGGGGCAAGCGUUGUCCGGAUUUAUUGGGCGUAAAGAGCGUGUAGGCGGUUAGGUAGGUCCGUUGUGAAAACUCGAGGCUCAACCUCGAGACGCCGAUGGAAACCAUCUAACUAGAGUCCGGAAGAGGAGAAUGGAAUUCCUGGUGUAGCGGUGAAAUGCGCAGAUAUCGGGAAGAACACCCGUGGCGAAGGCGGCUCUCUGGGACGGUACUGACGCUGAGACGCGAAAGCGUGGGGAGCGAACAGG
rnacentral:rRNA from 1 species